UUUUCACAGUGUAAAGCAAUGGUGAUGAGUUUGAUCACGGAAGUAAUACAUGUGAUAGUUUUGCACAUGACACAGAACACUGGCCCACUAUACCUGUGGUACAGCCCCACAGGCCGGUAUCAUCAGUGAUACGAAGCCAGGACAGCGCCAAACGACCGGUUUUUUUCGGACACCAACUGGGAAGUUACACUUCAUUUUAAUUUUUAUUCAUCUGUGAAAAUGAUUAGUCUAAAUGCUCACAAAUGUAGCCUGAACGAUCUUCCAACAGGAAUGAUAAUUAAAACAUGCCUGUAUGUUCCAGGUCAUCCGAUAAAUUAAGAGUUCAAUUCUAUAGCGUCAGGUACUAUAGUAACGGCACACGGGCUCGGACUGGGAAGAAACUUCGGCCCUGAUUUUAAAAGUCGUUUGUGAGGAGUUUUGGCGGGCAGGCGUGAAUUGUCAGAAGUGAUCCAGAAAGACAGCUUGAAAGGGGAGAUCGUUGUAGAAG